rnacentral:rRNA from 1 species
UACGUAGGGGGCAAGCGUUGUCCGGAUUUAUUGGGCGUAAAGAGCGUGUAGGCGGCUAGGUAGGUCCGUUGUGAAAACUCGAGGCUCAACCUCGAGACGUCGAUGGAAACCAUCUGGCUAGAGUCCGGAAGAGGAGAGUGGAAUUCCUGGUGUAGCGGUGAAAUGCGCAGAUAUCAGGAAGAACACCCGUGGCGAAGGCAGCUCUCUGGUACGUGACUGACGCUGAGACGCGAAAGCGUGGGGAGCAAACAGG